rnacentral:rRNA from 1 species
ACUCAAAUGAAUAGACGGGGGCCCGCACAAGCGGUGGAGCAUGUGGUUUAAUUCGAUGCAACGCGAAGAACCUUACCUACCCUUGACAUCCCGCGAAUCCCGUUUAAGAGAUGGGAGUGCCGAAAGGAGCGCGGAGACAGGUGCUGCAUGGCUGUCGUCAGCUCGUGUCGUGAGAUGUUGGGUUAAGUCCCGUAACGAGCGCAACCCUUGUCGUUUGUUGCUAGCAGGUAAAGCUGAGCACUCAAAUGAGACUGCCGGUGAUAAACCGGAGGAAGGUGGGGAUGACGUCAAGUCAUCAUGGCCUUUAUGGGUAGGGCAACACACGUGCUACAAUGGGGUGAACAGAGGGAAGCCAACCUGCGAAGGGGAGCGAAUCCUAGAAAACACCUCGUAGUCCGGAUUGGAGUCUGCAACUCGACUCCAUGAAGCUGGAAUCGCUAGUAAUCGCCGAUCAGCACGCGGCGGUGAAUACGUUCCCGGGCCUUGUACACACCGCCCGU